GAUGAACGCUGGCGGCGUGCUUAACACAUGCAAGUCGAACGGUGAAGGCGGAGCUUGCUCUGCUGGAUCAGUGGCGAACGGGUGAGUAACACGUGAGCAAUCUGCCCCUGACUCUGGGAUAAGCGCUGGAAACGGCGUCUAAUACUGGAUACGAGCUGCGAAGGCAUCUUCAGCAGCUGGAAAGAAUUUCGGUCAGGGAUGAGCUCGCGGCCUAUCAGCUUGCUGGUGAGGUAAUGGCUCACCAAGGCGUCGACGGGUAGCCGGCCUGAGAGGGUGACCGGCCACACUGGGACUGAGACACGGCCCAGACUCCUACGGGAGGCAGCAGUGGGGAAUAUUGCACAAUGGGCGAAAGCCUGAUGCAGCAACGCCGCGUGAGGGACGACGGCCUUCGGGUUGUAAACCUCUUUUAGCAGGGAAGAAGCGAAAGUGACGGUACCUGCAGAAAAAGCGCCGGCUAACUACGUG
rnacentral:rRNA from 1 species